rnacentral:rRNA from 2 species
CUCUGGUAUUGAUUGGUGCUUGCAUCAUGAUUUACAUUUGAGUGAGUGGCGAACUGGUGAGUAACACGUGGGAAACCUGCCCAGAAGCGGGGGAUAACACCUGGAAACAGAUGCUAAUACCGCAUAACAACUUGGACCGCAUGGUCCGAGCUUGAAAGAUGGCUUCGGCUAUCACUUUUGGAUGGUCCCGCGGCGUAUUACUAGAUGGUGGGGUAACGGCUCACCAUGGCAAUGAUACGUAGCCGACCUGAGAGGGUAAUCGGCCACAUUGGGACUGAGACACGGCCCAAACUCCUACGGGAGGCAGCAGUAGGGAAUCUUCCACAAUGGACGAAAGUCUGAUGGAGCAACGCCGCGUGAGUGAAGAAGGGUUUCGGCUCGUAAAACUCUGUUGUUAAAGAAGAACAUAUCUGAGAGUAACUGUUCAGGUAUUGACGGUAUUUAACCAGAAAGCCACGGCUAACUACGUGCCAGCAGCCGCGGUAAUACGUAGGUGGCAAGCGUUGUCCGGAUUUAUUGGGCGUAAAGCGAGCGCAGGCGGUUUUUUAAGUCUGAUGUGAAAGCCUUCGGCUCAACCGAAGAAGUGCAUCGGAAACUGGGAAACUUGAGUGCAGAAGAGGACAGUGGAACUCCAUGUGUAGCGGUGAAAUGCGUAGAUAUAUGGAAGAACACCAGUGGCGAAGGCGGCUGUCUGGUCUGUAACUGACGCUGAGGCUCGAAAGUAUGGGUAGCAAACAGGAUUAGAUACCCUGGUAGUCCAUACCGUAAACGAUGAAUGCUAAGUGUUGGAGGGUUUCCGCCCUUCAGUGCUGCAGCUAACGCAUUAAGCAUUCCGCCUGGGGAGUACGGCCGCAAGGCUGAAACUCAAAGGAAUUGACGGGGGCCCGCACAAGCGGUGGAGCAUGUGGUUUAAUUCGAAGCUACGCGAAGAACCUUACCAGGUCUUGACAUACUAUGCAAAUCUAAGAGAUUAGACGUUCCCUUCGGGGACAUGGAUACAGGUGGUGCAUGGUUGUCGUCAGCUCGUGUCGUGAGAUGUUGGGUUAAGUCCCGCAACGAGCGCAACCCUUAUUAUCAGUUGCCAGCAUUAAGUUGGGCACUCUGGUGAGACUGCCGGUGACAAACCGGAGGAAGGUGGGGAUGACGUCAAAUCAUCAUGCCCCUUAUGACCUGGGCUACACACGUGCUACAAUGGAUGGUACAACGAGUUGCGAACUCGCGAGAGUAAGCUAAUCUCUUAAAGCCAUUCUCAGUUCGGAUUGUAGGCUGCAACUCGCCUACAUGAAGUCGGAAUCGCUAGUAAUCGCGGAUCAGCAUGCCGCGGUGAAUACGUUCCCGGGCCUUGUACACACCGCCCGUCACACCAUGAGAGUUUGUAACACCCAAAGUCGGUGGGGUAACC